rnacentral:rRNA from 1 species
GAUGAACGCUGGCGGCGUGCCUAAUACAUGCAAGUCGAGCGAACAGAUAAGGAGCUUGCUCCUUUGAAGUUAGCGGCGGACGGGUGAGUAACACGUGGGUAACCUACCUAUAAGACUGGGAUAACUUCGGGAAACCGGAGCUAAUACCGGAUAACAUUUAGAACCGCAUGGUUCUAAAGUGAAAGAUGGUUUUGCUAUCACUUAUAGAUGGACCCGCGCCGUAUUAGCUAGUUGGUAAGGUAACGGCUUACCAAGGCGACGAUACGUAGCCGACCUGAGAGGGUGAUCGGCCACACUGGAAAUGAGACACGGUCCAGACUCCUACGGGAGGCAGCAGUAGGGAAUCUUCCGCAAUGGGCGAAAGCCUGACGGAGCAACGCCGCGUGAGUGAUGAAGGGUUUCGGCUCGUAAAACUCUGUUAUUAGGGAAGAACAAAUGUGUAAGUAACUGUGCACAUCUUGACGGUACCUAAUCAGAAAGCCACGGCUAACUACGUGCCAGCAGCCGCUGUAA